CUCUCUGGGCAGCCUGUUCCAGCACCUCACAGCUCUCUUGGUAAAGAACUUCCCCCUGAUAUCCAACCUAAGUCUUCCAUCCUUCAACUUAAAACCACUUCCCCUUGUCCUGCUGCUAUCUACCCUUUCGAAGAGUUGUCUGCCCUCCUGUUUGUAGGCUUCCCUUUAGGUACUGGAAGGCUGCAGUGAGGUCUCCCCACAGCCUUCUCUUCUCCAAAAGCAAGAGUAGAUAAUGCUCCAAUGUAAUGACAGAUGUAGCGGUGACAGAUGUCCUAAGGCUGUGUUUGUAGUGACCUGCAGAGAGCAGGGUUUAAUUAGGAAUGCAUCAUAUGGAGGAAAAGGAGCUGAACCAGGCUGCUAGUCAUCAAAUAUUACAGGAAAGGAAAUUCAGGUUGAAGAUGCACGUUUAGCUGCCUUUGUUGGCAGAAGUAUAACUUCUUCCUUGUGUUUCCCCAACAGGGCAGGGAGACACAGCUGGGCUGUUCUUGGGAGAUUCCAGCUACCCCUGUCACAGCAGUGAAUCUGGCUCUUGAGAGAGGAAAUGAUGGGAACAGAGUAAUGUUUUAAUGCAAAGUUAGGAGUUGGUUGUGUUGCUCUAGAGCCUUUUUUUGGAUGUUAGAGGGUGGAGAUGCGUUCACCCUGAGGGUCACCAUGUGGCAGCGAGGUGUGGGGAAUAGGGCAGCUGUGGGUUGGAGCCAGGAUGGAGCUUAUUGGGGCUCCAAAGAAAGAUGUGCAAAAUGCAGAGGAACUUCUGGAUACUGCAACACCUAAGCUGGUGAUUUAGGGAGUGCUUUUGUUUGGCUUCUGUGUAUCAAGUGAUAUGUAUAAUGUAUGAAGCAAUACCAUAGCGUAAAAAGCGAAUCUGCAAUGCAUUGAAUUCUUCCAGCUAUUCAAGAGUAAACGAUGAGAACCCUUUCAGUAACACUUUACGGAAAUUAAUAAUUCAGGUAGUUCUUUUAGCUGACAAAGAUAAUAUUCUCCACGUCUGUACUGUGCUCCUCGAUUACAGGCUUCACUGAGAUGCUCUCCAGUUGGCUCUGAGAGAGGGAGGCCGGAAUCUUUGGUGACUGUACUAUGGAUAUUUUGAUUAGGGAAGAGGAGAGUAUUGGUUUUGUCUCACAGGGACCUUGGAACGCUUCAAGGAAGGGCAAUGAGGGCUGGAUGGGAUUGAAGCGGAGAAGUUCCUCUGUGUUUUACUAAAAAAUGAAAAUCGGAUCCUGCUCUGACUAGAUUUGGAGCAGUGGAAUGCAACGUUGAUGCCUCCUAUCCUUGGAGACAUUCAAGGCCAGGCUGGACGUGGCUCUGGGCAGCCUGGGCUGGUGGUUGGCGACCCUGCACGCAGCAGGGGGGUUGAAACCAGAUGAUCAUUAUGGUCCUUUUCAACUCAGGCCAUUCUAUGAUUGAUAAUUUUAAGUAUGUAGGUGUUCCCACAGCAAUAUAGAAAUGUUUUCCAGACUUGGCAUUCCUCAAGGUGCGUUGGGCAGCUCUAAGCAGUGAGGAUGGGGCUUAAUAGGAGCGCUGGCUGGUGUCCUGGUAAGAUCAGGGUCCAUUUACGCUCUGUAUUUCAGGGCAAAGCGCAGCAAAACUCUUAAGAUCUCGUGGUCUAACCUUGUACUCUUCUCUACCAGAGCUUUCCUGACUGCCAUUGUGACACAGCUGGUUGCAAGAUUAAAAUAGCCUUCAUGUAAAGCUGCUCCAGAACCGCCCCUUCAUCUUCACUAAAGUGGAUGCCAGUGCUACAGUGGGAGCUGUGGGCGACCAGCUUGGACCAGCUCGUGUCCAUAAGAAGAAUUGCCUUUUGCUGUCCUGGACAAGGCCUUGCCAUGGGUCACGCACUUCCUUUAACAGGACAGUCCUCUGUUCCUAUCUUGCUUGAGAUCACAGGAGCUGUUCUGAAUGGAAGUCAGAUCAUCCAGAUUCCUCACUUCCACUUUGUCUUGAGCGUGGGAUACCAAUUACAAUGUGAAUCCAGUGCUAUCCCGAGUCCCAUCUCGAUGCUGCGGAGCUGUCCAGGAGCGUGCGCUGGGUGUCUCCUGGAGGCUGCCGUGGAAACCUUGCUUCCAUUGAGUUCUUCAGGUUUUUAUUCGUUGCCUUCAAUUUCCUAAUGUAUUUGCCACUUCUGAGUAGUGUCUGUCUAGGUGUUCUGUAGAUGAAAACACCUCUCAAUUAAGCAGUGUGGAGAUGUUUUUAAUUAGAGGCAUUUUGCUUGUCCUGUUAGCAGUAUUCAGUGAACGCUUCCUGUGGGAGUCCCCUUGGACGGGUUACUCAAAAUCUGGGAAUGUGGUGAUUCAGGUGCUGCAUAACUACAGGAGCUGCUUGGUCUGGAGAAUUCUGGAGGUGAAAAUAUUACUUCUGUUCAUAAAGAAUAAACUGCUUAGCCUAGCAAUGCAUGGACAGUGCCUUAAGGGCUUUGAUGAAGGUUCAUGAAACAGCACAAAGGUCCCAUGGCCCUUUUUCUCCUCCAGAUGAACUGUUCUCAUGAAGUCGGUAUAGAUCAGCAGCAAUCCCAAAGCUAGACCUCUGCGUUAGUAGAGCCUAAUAAAGGAACUUACUUUUCCUCUUUAGGAAGAUAUUAUUGCCCCUCCUCUGGGGCUGCUCUGGAACCAGGGUGUGAGACCUCUCCUUGUGUCAGCAGCUCUGCGGACCAGCAGUGAUUGGCCUCCUGAGCAGUAAGCUUCCAGGUGGGAAGCGUGGCAGUUCGGGCUACAGCCCCUGAAUGGCUUGGAUUGGAAGGGACCACGGUGGUCAUCUUGUUCCCACCUCCCUGCCACAGACAGGGAUGCCAACCACUACAUGAGGCACCACAUCAUGUUUUCUGGAGUCCCAUCCAAGCUGGCCUUGGGCACCUCCAAGGGCGGAGGGAGAGCAAGGUGGAAGUUCAGAACUUGGCCAUUGCAGGUAAAGUGACAGGACGUGGGGUGCUGGAAGGAUCCUUGCUGUGAUGACAUGACCAGCUCCCGAACUGAGGCUUGUUACUUCACCUGAGAGUUGCAGGGCAGCCACUGGUGAUAGAAUUCAGUGUCAUACUUCGUUCAGGUGAAAGCUGGAGACGUCACAAAGACUCAAGGUGACUUUUUUCAAAAGUGCAUUCAGCUUUGAGCGUGGGGAUGGGCAUAGCAGCCUUCAAAAAAAAAACAA